CUGGCUCAUGAUGAACGCUAGCGAUAGGCCGUAACACAUGCAAGUCGAGGGGCAGCAUAGGGUAGCAAUACUUUGAUGGCGACCGGCGCACGGGUGAGUAACGCGUAUGCAACCUACCUAUAACAGGGGCAUAACCCGGAGAAAUUCGGACUAAUACCGCAUAAAACAGGGGCUCCGCAUGGAGAUAUUUGUUAAAGAUUUAUCGGUUAUAGAUGGGCAUGCGUUCCAUUAGCCAGUUGGUGAGGUAACGGCUCACCAAAGCAACGAUGGAUAGGGGAACUGAGAGGUUUGUCCCCCACACUGGAACUGAGACACGGACCAGACUCCUACGGGAGGCAGCAGUGAGGAAUAUUGGUCAAUGGGCGAGCGCCUGAACCAGCCAAAUCGCGUGAAGGAAGACUGCCUUAUGGGUUGUAAACUUCUUUUAUACAGGAAUAAAAAGAGUUACGUGUAACUUAUUGCAUGUACUGUAUGAAUAAGCAUCGGCUAACUCCGUGCCAGCAGCCGCGGUAAUACGGAGGAUGCGAGCGUUAUCCGGAUUUAUUGGGUUUAAAGGGUGCGCAGGCGGGAACUUAAGUCAGCGGUGAAAUCUCGACGCUUAACGUCGAAACUGCCGUUGAAACUGGGUUUCUUGAGUAUAGAUGAAGUAGGCGGAAUUCGUUGUGUAGCGGUGACAUGCUUAGAUAUAACGAGGAACUCCGAUUGCGUAGGC
rnacentral:rRNA from 1 species